GAUGAACGCUAGCUACAGGCUUAACACAUGCAAGUCGAGGGGUAACAAGAAGGAAGCUUGCUUUCUUUGUUGACGACCGGCGCACGGGUGAGUAACACGUAUCCAACCUACCUUUCACGACGGGAAUAGCUCUUACGAAAGAAGGAUUAAUACCCGAUAUAAUAUAUUUGUCACCUGACUAAUAUAUGAAAGAUUUAUCGGUGUUAGAUGGGGAUGCGUUCCAUUAGACAGUUGGUGAGGUAACGGCUCACCAAAUCUACGAUGGAUAGGGGGUUCUGAGAGGAAGACCCCCCACAUUGGGACUGAGACACGGCCCAAACUCCUACGGGAGGCAGCAGUGAGGAAUAUUGGUCAAUGGACGAGAGUCUGAACCAGCCAAGUAGCGUGAAGGAUGACUGCCCUAUGGGUUGUAAACUUCUUUUAUAGGGGAAUAAAAUGCACCACGCGCUGGUGUUUUGUAUGUACCCUACGAAUAAGGAUCGGCUAACUCCGUG
rnacentral:rRNA from 1 species